rnacentral:rRNA from 1 species
GAUGAACGCUGGCGGCGUGCCUAAUACAUGCAAGUCGAGCGAACAGACGAGGAGCUUGCUCCUCUGACGUUAGCGGCGGACGGGUGAGUAACACGUGGAUAACCUACCUAUAAGACUGGGAUAACUUCGGGAAACCGGAGCUAAUACCGGAUAAUAUAUUGAACCGCAUGGUUCAAUAGUGAAAGACGGUUUUGCUGUCACUUAUAGAUGGAUCCGCGCCGCAUUAGCUAGUUGGUAAGGUAACGGCUUACCAAGGCAACGAUGCGUAGCCGACCUGAGAGGGUGAUCGGACACAUGGGAACUGAGACACGGUACAGACUCCUACGGGAGGAAGCAGUAGGGAAUCUUACGCAAUGGGCGAAAGCCUGACGGAGCAACGCCGCGUGAGUCAUGAAGGUCUUCGGAUCGUAAAACUAUGUUAUUAGGGAAGAACAAAUGUGUAAGUAACUAUGAACGUCUUGACGGUACCUAAUCAGAAAGCCACGGCUAACUACGUG